CCCUCUGCUCUAUCAGCCCGCGCAGGCGCAGUAGCUUCUCUGUGCGCUCUACUGUUUGCAUUGUGUCUGAACUGCCGGCGAGCUUUAAAAAUAUUAUACCCACCGCGGCAAUGUCGGGCAGGUCAGUCCGAGCUGAGACCCGGAGCAGGGCGAAAGAUGACAUCAAAAGGGUUAUGGCCGCAAUUGAGAAAGUACGAAAAUGGGAGAAGAAAUGGGUGACGGUUGGAGACACGUCCCUUCGCAUCUACAAGUGGGUGCCAGUGACGGAGCCCAAAUCAGACGACAAGAACAAAAAUAAGAAGAAGGGUAAAGAUGAGAAAUACGGCUCUGAGUUGACGACUCCAGAGAACAGCUCCUCUCCAGGGAUGAUGGACAUGCAUGAUGACAACAGCAACCAGAGCUCCAUCGCCGACUCGUCCCCGGUGAAACAGGAAAACAGUUGUAGCACCAGCCCGGCCCCAGAGCCCGCCGCCACGUCUCACCGCGAGAGCAGCGAGGCCAAGACUGACCAGAGCCCGGACAGCAAGAGGGGUAAGACCACACCUUCAUCAGAGACCUCAGAGAGAGGACAAAGUGCCAAGAGAGACAGCCUGUCCUCGGGGGAGAAGGACUCCACAGACAGCAAAGCCACUCAGGACCUAGAGGAGGAGGCCCCGCCCAGCAAGAAAAGCAAAUCGGAGUCCUCGUCUCAGGACUUUGAAGAGAGUUAAAUGUUUGGGGCUGAGUCAUCCCUCUCCUCCCUCUCCUCCCUCCUCCUCCUCCCUCCAUUAACUCUAGAUAAUUUAGGGCUAAUGGAUGCACCGGCUCUCCUCUCACUCCCCCACCUCCCCUUCUCGAUACCAAAGGGAGAAUGGACGUCCAUCUCUCUCCCCCCCACCCCACCUUUGCCCUAACACUCCUCUGCCACAGAGGGAGAAUGGAUAUUACCUCUAUUCACUGGUCCCCUCCGUGCUUCCUUCCAGUUCUACACUUUUUUUCACGAAUGCCAAGAGAAGCUCUGAACCCGGGCUGCAAUCCCCUCCAUGACCAGGGGCGGCGCCGUCCGCCGAGCCCCGCCACCGAGCCCCGCCACCGCCAGGCCAGGCGACAAACACUGACCUGCAUCUGUGACUAAAAAGAGUUAACACUGGGGAUCUGAGAUUAGGACGAGGUUGAUCACCGGGCGCUGCUCUGAGACCGUUUUUUAAAAACGUUUUACUGCUAACGGUUUAGCUCUAAAGAGGCUAACCUGGUCUCAGACCAGCGGCUGCGGGGGGAACCUCCACCCUAAGACCACGUCACUUCAAUCCUCCCGAUCCGCCUCCUGUUAGAUCUAAUGUUCGACAUUUGUUUAGGAAACGUUUUUAGGGUUUUUUUCUCAGGAGGGUCAAUGCACUGUUAUGGUAUGUCACAAUCGAUCACAGAUAGAUUUGCUGCUGUAGUGAAAGUCUUUUUUCUCUAUCCAUGAAAAGUUCUCCAUUCACAUGUUGUCGUUUGUUUUUUUUUUAAAGUGAGUUAGUUUGUGGUUUUUGUAGACUAAGAAGAAGAUGGUACUGGUCAAGAUAAACUCUUGGAUAAGUAGUGAAGACGGGCGUAGGUAGCGUAGAUCAUGAAGGUGUGCCUUGAGUUGCCACGAUUAAAUACACAUUUUAGUUCAAGCCGGUUUUGGAUUACAAUUUUGGUGCCAUGUUAUUGUUUUUUUUAAUGCCUUAUAAUCAUCACUAAUUAGUCUUUUCCAAUAUGUAUAUUCAACUACAACACUUGUUUUAUAUUUGAAGGAAUUGUUUGACAUUUUGGGAGGUAUUUUCUCUCUUACCGAGAGGAUGGAUCUCGUGUCUUUUCCCCCCCCCCCCCCCCCCAAAAUGUGGAACUCUCCCUUUUUCAAACAGUUGGAGACUGGAAUUUGAACACUACCCAGAAGAACUUUUAGUUUUAUCUUCUGAACAUUUUAACAUUUGCAAACCUCAUAAUUCAGAGUUCCCGGUCGCUGGUCUGUGUCGACUUCAGGGGGCGUAUUUUUUCCCCCCUCCCUCUAAAGUAGAAACGGACCAGUUACAGGGAACUGGUUUUCCCGUCUGGUCCGCCAUCAUGACUUGUAUUUAAUCACUUCUCAUCUCUGUGUGUCACUACUUAUCUUUGGCAGAGGGGUCCAGUCUUUUAGCUGAAGCAUUGGUUCUAAUCCUCCUUCAAGGUGCUGUCUUUUGGCUAAAUCUAUACACGUGUGGCAUCAAGCUCUCGGUUUUGUGCAGAUCUGUGCAAUUUACUUGAACUCCUAUAUAGUGUGGAUUCAGACCUGUGACCUCUUAAUGUUCAGCCUCACACAUGUAAGAUUUAGUUUCAUUAAUAUUUACUCGUGAAUAUGGAUUGGAAUCAAUUGAAAACUCUGCAAACCAAUGACUUCAUGACAUAACAGGGGCUAUAAGAAGUACUUUAUGACGCAGAAUUACUUGAUCAGAUUUCAACAAAUCAGCAUUCACAUGGAUGGAGAGAAAAGAAAAAAAAAAAAAAAAAAAAUGGUCUCAGUUUAGAGGAUGGAUUAGCAUAUACCUCAUUCCCAGUCCAGCAGCGCUGGAACUUAAAAUGCUAUUGUAUUGACAUUAACAGUUAUAAACAGCAUUAUGUACACUCAGUUUAAAAACAAAAGAUCUCACUUAUGUUGUAGCUUUCACCUGAUUGAGCCGAUUGCUUAUAGUUUGCUCAUAACUGUUUAAAAAAAAAAAGAGAGAAAAAAAAGUGAGAUAUAAAAUCCUGUAUGUUUUUUUCUUUCCUAGGGACCAUUUUGUUUUACUUUAGAUCUUGUACAGAUUUAUGGUUUGGUUUGACUUAUUUAUUCCAUCAGUAGUGCUUGGUUUUUAUCAUGUCCAAUGGUUUUGUUUUCUUAAUAAAAUUCACAAAAGUU